AUUGAACGCUGGCGGCAUGCCUUACACAUGCAAGUCGAACGGCAGCACGGGUGCUUGCACCUGGUGGCGAGUGGCGAACGGGUGAGUAAUAUAUCGGAACGUACCUUAUUGUGGGGGAUAACGCAGCGAAAGCUGUGCUAAUACCGCAUAAUCCCUAAGGGGGAAAGCGGGGGACCGUAAGGCCUCGCGCAAUUAGAGCGGCCGAUACCUGAUUAGCUAGUCGGUGAGGUAAAGGCUCACCAAGGCAACGAUCAGUAGCUGGUCUGAGAGGACGAUCAGCCACACUGGGACUGAGACACGGCCCAGACUCCUACGGGAGGCAGCAGUGGGGAAUUUUGGACAAUGGGGGCAACCCUGAUCCAGCAAUGCCGCGUGAGUGAAGAAGGCCUUCGGGUUGUAAAGCUCUUUUGUCAGGGAAGAAACAGCAGCUCUGACACAGUAUGCGAAUGACGGUACCUGAAGAAUAAGCACCGGCUAACUACGUGCCAGCAGCCGCCGUAA
rnacentral:rRNA from 1 species